GUGAACUACCACAGAACCACGUCUUCAGUGACUUCCGAAGAAGCCACUGAAGACGUGGUUCUGUAGCUUCUUCGGGAGCCUGAGUUCACCAGACUCGUUUCCAGAAAUGGGAACGGCGUUCGAUUGGUCAUGACACCUGCGGUUGACGCAUCAGACCGCUGCUCUGUCGCUGAGAGUUAAGUAGGCUUGAGGUAAGGGCUGGUGCUCUCGGCGUAAAAAGCCUCUUGAACAUUGUCGAGAUGAAGCCGGA
rfam:Ktedonobacter racemifer DSM 44963 strain SOSP1-21 Krac_Contig206, whole genome shotgun sequence.